rnacentral:rRNA from 1 species
UACGUAGGUGGCAAGCGAUACUCGGAAUCACUAGGCGUAAAGCGCAGGUAGGCGGUUGGAUAAGUCUGUUGUGAAAGCUCCCGGCUUAACUGGGAGAGGUCAACGGAAACUAUCCGGCUAGAGUGCGGUAGAGGUAGCUGGAAUUCCCGGUGUAGCGGUGAAAUGCGUAGAUAUCGGGAGGAAUACCUAUGGCGAAAGCAGGCUACUGGACCGUCACUGACGCUGAUCUGCGAAAGCUAGGGGAGCAAACAGG